GUGCCAGCAGCCGCGGUAAUACGUAGGGGGCAAGCGUUGUCCGGAAUUAUUGGGCGUAAAGCGCGCGCAGGCGGUUCCUUAAGUCUGAUGUGAAAGGCCACAGCUCAACUGUGGAGGGCCAUUGGAAACUGGGGAACUUGAGGACAGAAGAGGAGAGUGGAAUUCCACGUGUAGCGGUGAAAUGCGUAGAGAUGUGGAGGAACACCAGUGGCGAAGGCGACUCUCUGGUCUGUAACUGACGCUGAGGAGCGAAAGCGUGGGGAGCGAACAGGAUUAGAAACCCUCGUAGUCC
rnacentral:rRNA from 1 species